AGGAUAAACGCUGGCGGCGUGCAUGAGACAUGCAAGUCGAACGGACGAUCAGGGCCUGCUCUGAUCGUUAGUGGCGGACGGCUGAGUAACGCGUAGGUGACCUGCCCCGAAGUGGGGAGUAACUGCCCGAAAGGGUGGCUAAUACCGCAUGUGGUGGUGUGUUCAAUCACACCAGUAAAGCCGCAAGGCGCUUCGGGAGGGGCCUGCGUCCGAUUAGCUCGUUGGUGGGGUAACGGCUCACCAAGGCGACGAUCGGUAGGUGGUCUGAGAGGACGAUCACCCAGACUGGGACUGAGACACGGCCCAGACUCCUACGGGAGGCAGCAGUCGGGAAUUUUGCGCAAUGGACGAAAGUCUGACGCAGCAACGCCGCGUGAGGGAUGAAGGCCUUCGGGUUGUAAACCUCUUUUAUCAGGGAAGAUAAUGACGGUACCUGAUGAAUAAGUCACGGCUAACUACGUGCCAGCAGCCGC
rnacentral:rRNA from 1 species